GACGAACGCUGGCGGCGUGCUUAACACAUGCAAGUCGAACGGAAAGGCCCUGCUUUUGUGGGGUGCUCGAGUGGCGAACGGGUGAGUAACACGUGAGUAACCUGCCCUUGACUUUGGGAUAACUUCAGGAAACUGGGGCUAAUACCGGAUAGGAGCUCCUGCUGCAUGGUGGGGGUUGGAAAGUUUCGGCGGUUGGGGAUGGACUCGCGGCUUAUCAGCUUGUUGGUGGGGUAGUGGCUUACCAAGGCUUUGACGGGUAGCCGGCCUGAGAGGGUGACCGGCCACAUUGGGACUGGGAUGCGGCCCGAACUCCUACGGGAGGCAGCGGUGGGGUAUAUUACACAAUGGGCGGAAGCGUGAUGUAGCAACGCCGCGUGGGGGAAGAGGGCCAGCGGGUUGUUAUCCACUGCCGCCUGUGACGAGACGUGAGUGACGGUAAUGGGUAAAGAAGCACCGGCUAACUACGUG
rnacentral:rRNA from 1 species